rnacentral:tRNA from 1 species
GAUAAGAUGCCUGAUAAAAGGGCUAUUUUGAUAGAAUAGAUUAUGUAACAAUUACUCUUAUUG